CUUUCUUCUUCCACAUGAUUUAGACUCCUACACACGAUGGUGUUCCAAGUUCCACAAUGUUGAGGGCCUCUCCCCUGGAUCUCAGACCUGGAUUCACAGGACCCUAAGGCUCCCCUCUCCAUGCUAUACAACAGCAGUUCCCUGGAAUGUUAAGUGGUAUCUCAUGAACAAGUGUUUCAUGGUCAACUCCUGCUGGAACCCAGGGAGUCUCAGUCUCCUUGACCCAGUCCGUGAGCACUCAGGCUUUGCUAGAAAGAGCCGUCAGGUCUAGCAUCUCAAUCAGACUUGAGUCACAGUGGCAUUAAGACUUCCCGUUUGACUGCCAAAUCCUUUAAAUGAACCCAUUCAUGCCAUCUGAAUGCCGCGUGGUAGCGAGCACGUUCCGUCUGGUGUUUCCAGACUCUGAAGUCGGAUUCUGUCACUUCCCUUUUCCUGCUGUACAGCACACGGGCCACAGAUCCAAACACUUGAUGGAAAUUUUUCUUUCUAUCUUAAAUCUUCCAAAACUAGUUACCUCUGAGGCCAAUGAACUCAACAUCCAGAGAGAGAACAAGAGAGUGAUCACAGAAUAAUGGAAAUGUUUUUAGUAGAUGUUUGUAUACUCGGUGAACUGCCACAGGGGACCCUAUCUGAACAAAAGCAGCCAAAAUAACACACAUAUGGGGAGGGCUAAAGAAAAGAAUAAGAUGUUCUAUGCCCAAUCUAUAAAAUCUGAGCCUGUGAUGUGUUAGAAAUAAAUGCACGAUGACUAAUUUUGAA